GACGAACCGUGCGAACGUUGUUCGGAAUCACUGGGCUUAAAGGGCGCGUAGGCGGCUCGCGAGGUCGGGGGUGAAAUCCCACGGCUUAACCGUGGAAGGGCCUUCGAUACCGGCGGGCUGGAGGAAGGUAGGGGUGCGCGGAACUUCUGGUGGGGCGGUGAAAUGCGUUGAUAUCAGAAGGAACGCCGGCGGCGAAAGCGGCGCACUGGACCUUUUCUGACGCUGAGGCGCGAAAGCCAGGGGAGCAAACGGG
rnacentral:rRNA from 1 species